rnacentral:rRNA from 1 species
AACUAACGCUAGCGGCGUGCCUAACACAUGCAAGUCGUACGAGAAAGUCGGCUUCGGUCGGCGAGUAAAGUGGCGCACGGGUGAGUAACGCGUGGAUAAUCUACCCUUGAGUUGGGAAUAACGUGCCGAAAGGUGCGCUAAUACCGAAUAAUACUGAGUGACUAAUGUUGCUUAGUCAAAGAAGGCCUCUGCUUGCAAGCUUUCGCUGAAGGAUGAGUCCGCGUACCAUUAGCUAGUUGGUAGGGUAAUGGCCUACCAAGGCAACGAUGGUUAGCUGGUCUGAGAGGAUGAUCAGCCACACUGGAACUGAGACACGGUCCAGACUCCUACGGGAGGCAGCAGUGAGGAUAUUGCGCAAUGGGGGCAACCCUGACGCAGCAACGCCGCGUGAGUGAGGAAGGUUUUCGGACCGUAAAGCUCUGUCGAGCGGGAAGAAAUGCAUGCUGGCUAAUAUCCAUCAUGCUUGACGGUACCGCU